AGUGAACGCUGGCGGUAGGCCUAACACAUGCAAGUCGAACGGCAGCACAGUAAGAGCUUGCUCUUACGGGUGGCGAGUGGCGGACGGGUGAGGAAUACAUCGGAAUCUACUUUUUCGUGGGGGAUAACGUAGGGAAACUUACGCUAAUACCGCAUACGACCUACGGGUGAAAGCAGGGGAUCUUCGGACCUUGCGCGAUUGAAUGAGCCGAUGUCGGAUUAGCUAGUUGGCGGGGUAAAGGCCCACCAAGGCGACGAUCUGUAACUGGUCUGAGAGGAUGAUCAGCCACACUGGAACUGAGACACGGUCCAGACUCCUACGGGAGGCAGCAGUGGGGAAUAUUGGACAAUGGGCGCAAGCCUGAUCCAGCCAUACCGCGUGGGUGAAGAAGGCCUUCGGGUUGUAAAGCCCUUUUGUUGGGAAAGAAAAGCAGCGGGUUAAUACCCCGCUGUUCUGACGGUACCCAAAGAAUAAGCACCGGCUAACUUCGUG
rnacentral:rRNA from 1 species